UACGUAGGGGGCAAGCGUUGUCCGGAAUCAUUGGGCGUAAAGAGCGUGUAGGCGGUCCGGUAAGUCAGCUGUGAAAGUCAAGGGCUCAACCCUUGAAAGCCGGUUGAUACUGUCGGGCUAGAGUCCGGAAGAGGCGAGUGGAAUUCCCGGUGUAGCGGUGAAAUGCGCAGAUAUCGGGAGGAACACCAAUGGCGAAGGCGGCCAGCUGGGCCGACCCUGACGCUGAGGCGCGAAGGCGUGGGGAGCGAACGGG
rnacentral:rRNA from 1 species